UACGUAGGGUGCGAGCGUUAAUCGGAAUUACUGGGCGUAAAGCGUGCGCAGGCGGUUUUGUAAGUCAGAUGUGAAAUCCCCGGGCUCAACCUGGGAACUGCGUUUGAAACUACAAGGCUAGAGUGUAGCAGAGGGGGGGUAGAAUUCCACGUGUAGCAGUGAAAUGCGUAGAGAUGUGGAGGAAUACCAAUGGCGAAGGCAGCCCCCUGGGUUAACACUGACGCUCAUGCACGAAAGCGUGGGGAGCAAACAGG
rnacentral:rRNA from 1 species